AGAGAGAUUUAGAUAAGUUCCCUUAGUAGCUUGGAAAGAGUCUGUGCCUGAGAGAAUUCUGUAUCCUCAGACUGUGGCUCUUACUGCCUAACUGUGGCUGCAGAUUGCUGUGGAGUUUUGGUUGCUGAUUUGGACAACCUUGACUUAAAAGGACAAUGGGAUCUGGACAUCUGGGGCUUACAUAUCAGCUGUGAAUAAGAAGAGCCAAGUAUCACUGAGAUAUAACCUUAGGUCAGUGUUUUCUCAGAGACAGCUCAUGAAAACUGUGGUCAGAGUGGCCAAGCCUUGUAGCUCAUGGUAGCAGGCAAACUUGGUAACAUGUGAGAGUCUCCCAGGUGGUACUGGUUUUGAAAACAUGAAGAUGUCUUGGAAAGUGGGUGAGACUUAGCACUAUGAAGUACAUGAUAAACCAUUCCUGAAGGUACAGCCAGAGUAGCAGUGGAAACCCAAGAACUGAAAGAGUGAUUAAGAAAAACUGAGGCUUUGCACCCUGAAGGCAACCAGGAGAUGCUAUUGGUGAAAGGGGAGCUGAUUUGUAGUAGAAGACUAUUUUUUUGGAGAUACCAGUACCCAUGGGACAGCUGACCAUCAUUGUAGCAAUGCUGGAGUGGAGAUGGCCUCAGUCUACAAGACAGCUCAGUGUGUGCUAAAGAGAAAGGAGUCUGAUAAGUGACCUAAGCCCUUUGUGAGUGAGUCCCAGCCAUUGGGCAUUUAUUUAUUUAUACUUGUUGGAGUGUCGUUCUGCUUCAUUCAGAUUGUGUGUGGUGUGUCCUGUUCUUUUAAGUUUGUUAUGUUUCAUGUUUGUGAUGGUUUUUAAUAUGAGAUAUUGGAGACAUGGUA